rnacentral:rRNA from 1 species
CUCGUAGGUGGCUUUGUAAGUCGGAGGUGAAAGACCACGGCUCAACCGUGGAAACGCCUUCGAAACUGUGAAGCUUGAGGCUGGGAGAGGAAAUCGGAAUUCCUGGUGUAGCGGUGAAAUGCGUAGAUAUCAGGAGGAACACCGGUGGCGAAGGCGGAUUUCUGGACCAGUUCUGACACUGAUGAGCGAAAGCCAGGGGAGCAAACAGGAUUAGAUACCCUGGUAGUCCUGGCUGUAAACGAUGGGCACUAGGUGUGGGAGGAUCGACCCCUUCCGUGCCGCAGUUAACGCAUUAAGUGCCCCGCCUGGGGAGUACGACCGCAAGGUUGAA